rnacentral:tRNA from 1 species
GGGCCCUUAGUUCAGUGGAUAGAACAACCGACUUCUAAUCGGUAGGUCACAGGUUCGAAUCCUGUAGGGCCCG